CACGGUGGCCAUGGCGAGAGGGAAACACCCGGACCCAUCCCGAACCCGGAAGUUAAGCCUCCCAGCGCUGAUGGUACUGCACACGCGAGUGUGUGGGAGAGUAAGACGCCGCCGGAC
rfam:Pseudopropionibacterium propionicum F0230a chromosome, complete genome.